CAGCAGCCCCAGUGGCAAAUAGGACCCAGUGGAUCCAGCCCUGCCUUGUCAAGUUCUGAAUGUUCUGGGAGGCACCAGCGUUUCUAUCUCCUGUGCCACUUCACAGAUGGCACAACAAAGCCAAGACUCCCUAAGUCAUAUUAUCAAAGUUGCUCUCUCAAGACCUUUAGUUAUGCAAGCUUCAAGGUCCUGCCCCUAUUCCUGAACCCCUGCUGCAUUUGUCUGGAUCAGCCCUCCAAGCAGUAUUUCUUGCUGUGGCAUGCUGUUGUUUUCAAAAUGUAUUUGUCCUAGGAGUAGGGAGGGGUACAUAAGGUAAUGGAGGAGACACAGCAUCCAGCCCUUCUGCCCAUAUGCUUGCCUGUCCAUCUGUCCACCCGCCAUCUACCCGUGUAUCCACCCACCCACCACCCACACAUCCAUCCAUCCAUUCAUCCCUGCAAUCAGCAGGUCAGCCCCCAUUGUGGGAGGCACGUGGCAGGGGAUCUAGAGAUAGGAUUUCUUUUUCCUCCUCUGAGAGCUUGCCACCUAAUGGGCACACUAAUAACUACAGAAAAGGCAGAUGUCGUCAGUGCCCCAAGAGAGGCGUGUGCGGGCAUUAGUUGGCGAGCGAGCCCAUGCCAGCCCUUGGUCAGUCUCCAGCAGAGCCUCUUCCCUCAUUCCAGCUGAGGCAGGGCUGGAAUA
rnacentral:lncRNA from 1 species